CAGCCGCCGCGGUAAUACGAAGGGGGCUAGCGUUGUUCGGAAUUACUGGGCGUAAAGCGCACGCAGGCGGCUCGAUAAAUUAGAAGUGAAAGCCUUGGGCUUAACCUGAGAAUUGCUUUUAAGACUGUCGAGCUAGAAUCCAGAAGAGGGUAGUGGAAUUCCGAGUGUAGAGGUGAAAUUCGUAGAUAUUCGGAAGAACACCAGUGGCGAAGGCGACUACCUGGUCUGGCAUUGACGCUCAUGUGCGAAAGCGUGGGGAGCAAACAGGAUUAGAUACCCGGGUAGUCCCUGUCUCUUAUAC
rnacentral:rRNA from 1 species